UGUCAGUGCAAUUUAAAUGAACAUGGAAUGCUCCGAUCUUUGUCAAUGUACAAACUGUCAGAACAGAGAUGAUAAAGACACCAUGAAUGAAGAUGCUCAAUUUGCAGACGAUGAAUACCUAGACGAAAUUUACAUAGAUGAUUUGUUUGAUUGAGAUUUGAUGUGCUUCUUAUUUCAUCAUUAUUAUGUAUAAUAUAGAAAAUUUAAAAAAGGUAAUGUAACCGUGUGACCCUUGAGAAUGUAAGAACUUCAGAACCAUGAGACUUAACACACAGUGACACAGGAGUAUGUAAAGCAUUAUCUAUUUUUAUUUAUUAUGUAUGAUGUACAAAAGUUAAAAAAAAAUUCUGUAUAAUGUAACCAUGGACCUAUUAAUAAGAAGGACAUAAAACGUAGUAUUGCCCUUUGAUCAAUCAUCUUUUCUGACAAGAUAAGAGAGGGGUAUAUUUAUCGGAAUAAACUAUGAAAAGAUAAGCUCGGUACCGUUAUUUCUUACGUUAUCGCCUUUCUGGGCAUGCGCAUUAGGCUUUCGUUCGGCUGCCUGGUUCUCCGCGAUCGAGAGAUACACAUACACACACACUAAACUGUUGAAAAUACCAGGUCCAUGAAAAUACGAAUAUAGUAUGGACGAUUUAGAUUUUUGCGUCAACGAUGCAGAGAUCGAUAAUAGAAACGCAAAAUGCACUAUGUAUGCAAACAGAAGUCAGAGGAUAAAAUGAUUGCAUGUGGUGGUCCAAACUGUACUUGGGCCUAGGCCUAGUAAUACGUGGUACCACUACUUCAACUGCAUAGGCUUGCUUGACACCAAAUGAAAUAGCCUUCCUAGCGAUGGUCUGGGCUUGUAAACGGUGCGUAGUCGCUGCUUCAGCAUGAGCGGGUGACAACAACCUACAGGGGCCUAGCUGAGAGAAACAGACGGGUUCCGUACCGUCUGUUAAAAAAGAAAAAAACUGACUGAAAGGCCUGCAAGUGUUUACACCAAAGAGGAAAUUGGAGGUGCACUGAAAGCUUUAGUUUGUCACCAAUGGAUGUAAUAAUAAUAUUGUAAAUGUACAUGCAGAUACUGUACAAAAUUUUAAAAAACAGUAGCUUAAAAUCUAAGAUAAAAAGCUUACGAAAAGGAAUUGCCCAAGUAAAUAUGUUGAUGUACAGGUAUGUGGAAAUCUGCAUGAUGGUGCUGGAAUAGUAAUCGCUUAUGUAAAUAAAUAAUGUAAAUAAUAAAAAUACAAUAUUAUGUUCAGAAAUUGAGGUACUAAUUGUUGAAUAUUACAUAAUUAUGUAUUCAGAGAUGGCAGUAAUAGCACAAUAAAUGAAUUUAAAAAUA